ACGGGAGGCAGCAGUGGGGAAUAUUGGGCAAUGGGCGAAAGCCUGACCCAGCGACGCCGCGUGAAUGAAGAAGGUCUUCGGAUUGUAAAAUUCUUUUAUAUGGGACGAAACAAAUGACGGUACCAUAUGAAUAAGCCACGGCUAACUACGUGCCAGCAGCCGCGGUAAUACGUAGGUGGCAAGCGUUAUCCGGAUUUACUGGGUGUAAAGGGUGUGUAGGCGGGGAAGCAAGUCAGAUGUGAAAAUUAUGGGCUCAACUCAUAACCUGCAUUUGAAACUGUUUUUCUUGAGGGUCGGAGAGGUAACUGGAAUUCCCGGUGUAGCGGUGAAAUGCGUAGAUAUCGGGAGGAAUACCGGUGGCGAAGGCGGGUUACUGGACGAUUACUGACGCUGAUACACGAAAGUGUGGGGAGCAAACAGGAUUAGAUACCCUGGUA
rnacentral:rRNA from 1 species